UCGCAGGGGUGUCCCAUUUUGGCUGAGAGUUUUGGACUAAAUGAUUCGAAACAACCCUUCGAACCUGAUACGGGUCAUACCGACGAAGGGAGCGA
rnacentral:ncRNA from 1 species